rnacentral:rRNA from 1 species
GAUGAACGCUGGCGGCGUGCCUAAUACAUGCAAGUCGAGCGAACAGAUGAGGAGCUUGCUCCUCUGACGUUAGCGGCGGACGGGUGAGUAACACGUGGAUAACCUACCUAUAAGACUGGGAUAACUUCGGGAAACCGGAGCUAAUACCGGAUAAUAUAUUGAACCGCAUGGUUCAAUAGUGAAAGACGGUUUUGCUGUCACUUAUAGAUGGAUCCGCGCCGCAUUAGCUAGUUGGUAAGGUAACGGCUUACCAAGGCAACGAUGCGUAGCCGACCUGAGAGGGUGAUCGGCCACACUGGAACUGAGACACGGUCCAGACUCCUACGGGAGGCAGCAGUAGGGAAUCUUCCGCAAUGGGCGAAAGCAUGACGGAGCAACGCCGCGUGAGUGAUGAAGGUCUUCGGAUCGUAAAACUCUGUUAUUAGGGAAGAACAAAUGUGUAAGUAACUAUGCACGUCUUGACGGUACCUAAUCAGAAAGCCACGGCUAACUACGUG